rnacentral:misc_RNA from 1 species
AUGAUAAAUUUCCUGGAAGAAGUUGUUCCACAUCUUUUAGUGACCUAUGAUUAUUCAGUAAUUCUCGGAGAUCUAAAUAUUGAUAUGUUAAAACCUAAUUCAUUAUAUUCUAUGCUUAACUCUUUUGGGUACGUACAAUUAAUAAAUGAACCAACUCGUAUAACAAAUACUACUGCAACAUGCUUAGAUCCCAUUUUUAUCAAUACUAAAGAUAUUUGUCAUAAAAGUGGCACCGUUGUUUCAGGUUUAAGUGAUCACAAUCAAAUACCUUUCUGCACUUUAAAAUUAGUAGUUAAAAGACAAAAACAAAAAUUUAUAACCAUCCGCAAUUUUAAACAUUUCAAUGAGAUAUAUUUUAGGAUCGAUUUAUCACAGAUUUACUGGGAUAAUAUUUAUUAUCUUGAGGACAUAAAUAAAAAAGUUCAAUAUUUAGAACAAAAUAUUAAUUAUUUAUUUAAUAUUCAUGCACCCUACAGAACUAUAAGAGUUAGUAAAAAGCCAGCUCCCUGGUUGACAGACACCUUAAGACUUAUUUUAAAGGAACAUGAUAAGGCUUUGAAUAAAUACAAAAAUCACAAGUGUUUAGAAAAUUGGAGAUAUUACACGGAGUGUCGUAAUUUUGCGUUGGCAUCAAUAAGACGAGAAAAAGCUGCAUAUCUUGCAAGCUUGGAGAGUGACAAAACUGGUAAAAAACUUUGGAAAGGUCUAGAAACUUUAAAUAUUAAAACAACCAAGAAUAAUAACGAGCUGCCGUUUAAUAUAUCUGAUCCAAAUCAAAUAAAUGAUUUUUUUGUAAGUGUUUUUAAUAAAUCUGAUAAAUGUGUAAACAAAAUUAACUUCUACUCCAGUAAUAAAUUUACCGAGGAUAAUUUUCAUUUUUCUUUAGUAGACCAAAGUACUGUCGAAAAAACUAUAAAAAAUAUUAGGUCCAAUGCCUCUGGUGUGGAUAACAUAACUCGACGUAUGUUACACUUAUGUCUCCCUGAUAUACUGGAUCAUGUCACUCAUAUUAUAAAUUGUUGUUUGGAGGUAGGAUAUUUUCCUACGGCCUGGCGUGAAUCAGUGGUAUGUCCGAUUCCCAAAUCCUCCAGUCCUGAAACUAUUCAAGAUUUGCGUCCGAUAAGUUUGCUUCCCGUAAUCUCCAAAGUUCUCGAAAGAAUAGUCUAUAUGCAGCUGUCAUCAUUUUUAAUGUCAAAUAAUAUCCUCCCUUCACAUCAAUCUGGUUUUAGGAAACAUCAUAGCACAGCUAGUUCACUUCUAAACGUCACCGAUAAUAUCAUGCGAGCUCUUGACAAAAAGAUUUCAGCCAUUAUGAUAGCCCUUAAUUUCUCGAAAGCAUUUGAUGUCAUCGAUCAUGAUUUGCUUGUAGCGAAACUGAAAUAUUAUGGCUGUAGUGAGGUUGUUUUGUCCUUUUUUAAAACUUACUUAUGGCGUAGAACCCAGAAAGUGAGGGUGAAUAAUGAAUAUUCUGCUUCGAAAAACAUUAUUUCUGGUGUCCCACAAGUACGAUCCUAGGCCCAUUAUUAUUUCUUAUAUAUACUUCAGAUUUACCCGGUCUAGUUGAAGAUUCUCAAAUACAUCAGUAUGCUGAUGAUACUCAAUACAUACAUUAUUUUGACUCUGCUAAUUUUGAUGCGCCUGACAGCAUUGUGUCCGCUUUUGGAGAUUAUUUCAGGAGUGUAUACACGAACUCACUUCCCAGCGAUCAUCCUGUCGUCUCUGAACCUCCCUUAACUUGCAUAGACGUCGUCGCGCUCGCGGCUACUGACAUUAUAAUGGCGAGCAAGUGUCUCAAAAGCAAAAUGACCUCUGGCCCAGAUCUAAUUCCUAGUUUUUUAGCUACGGACUGCUCUGUUGCACUUACAGACCCUCUGCUCCACAUUUUUAAUCUGAUCCUUAACACAGGUAUUUUUCCCAACAUCUGGAAGCAAGCUAAAGUUUGCCCUAUCUUUAAAAAGGGCGAUGCUGGAACAAUAGAGAAUUACCGCCCUAUAUCCAUUCUGUGCAAUUUCUCAAAGUUAUUCGAGUUGGCUCUCUAUAAAUUAAUUUUUCCCAAGGUUAAGUCCAUGCUGGCCAAUGAUCAACAUGGCUUUGUUUCUGGCCGCUCAUGUACUACAAACCUAGCAUUCUUCUCUCAGUUUGUGUGCGAAGCACUUAAUGAUAGAAGCCAAAUCGAUGUUAUCUACACAGACUUCCAAAAGGCUUUUGACCAGAUUGACCACUUCAUCCUAUUAAAUAAGCUUGAACGCCAGUUUGGAUUCUCCGAUCGCUUGAUAAAGCUCCUUAACUCUUAUUUAGUUGACCGCUCUCAGUUUGUACUGGUCGAAGGCUUUAGAUCUGCUUGUUUUUCACCCACCUCCGGAGUUCCUCAGGGCUCUAACUUGGGCCCCCUUCUCUUUAACGUUUUCGCUAAUGACUUGAUCUCCACCCUCAAUUGCUCUCGGUUAGCAUAUGCUGAUGACCUAAAGCUUUUCCAUAGGAUUGACUCUAUAGCAGAUUGUGGUCUACUUCAAGAGAACAUCAAUACUGUACACCAUUGGUGCACUUUGAACCGGCUUAACCUUAAUGUUUCCAAGUGUAAUGUGGCCAGCUACUUUCGUAUCAAAAGUCCAAUUGCCUUUAAUUACUCAGUUAAUGGAGAGUCUCUGGCAAGGUCUACCUGUUUCAAGGAUCUUGGAGUCACCUUUGACCAAAAAUUUUCUUUUAUCCUCCACAUCGAAGAUACUGUUUCUAGAGCUACUCACAUGCUAGGCUUUAUUAUUAGAAAUUGCAAACUUUUUUUGAACACUGCCACUGCCAAAACGCUCUACUAUGCAUUUGUUAGAUCCAGGCUGGACUACUGCUCCCUCAUUUGGUCUCCUAUUUACAACCAGCACAUUCACCUAUUAGAAUCAGUCCAACGGCGAUUCCUUAAAUGUUUGGCAUUUAAGGAUGAUGGAGUCUAUCCUCCAAGGGGUUUUGACCAUAACCUGCUGCUCUCUAGAUAUACUGAACGGUCACUUGCGAAGAGGAGAGAAAUGCAUUCGGUGAAAUUCUUGUUUAAUUUACUUAACCAUAAAAUUGACUGCCCAUCCCUUUUGCAAAGGAUUUGCUUUCAUAUACCACGCCCAGGAUCCAGACAGUGUCCAGCUUUUAACUUGGACACAGCCAGGUCCAACAUUCUGUACCAGAGUCCUAUUCACUUUAUGUGUCAAAACUUUAACACUAUUGCUGAUUCUUGUGACAUUCACCAUGACGAUUUGGCACUUAUCUUGAAUCACCUGCGUAUGGUCGGUGGGGAAGGCUAGGUUAUUUAAUUUUUAGUUAUUUAGUUUUUAGCUUGAAUACAUUUAUUUACUCAUUUUUUUUUGGUCUUUUGAUUUAAAUUAAUUCUUGAUUCUUAUCCUAAUUUAGUGUUGAUUUUUUAUUAUUUAUUUUCUCAAGUUCACUACUUUUUUUUUUUAUUAUAUAGCAAUUCUUUUAUAGUUCUUUUAUAGUUUAUGAAUCUAAUACAAUUCAUGCAUUCGUACAUUUAUAUAUUUAAUUGAUUUUCCUGUAACUGGGUAUAUGUAACCUGUUGGAAAUAAAGCUUAUUAUUAUAACGUGGCUGAUACUAUUAACGCUGAUCUGAACGUAAUAAAUCAAUUUUCAAAAGAGCAUAACCUUGUUAAUAUUAAUCCUAAUAAAACAAAAAUGGUUUUGUUUUCAAACCGAGGAUCACAUAAAAAUAUAAUGGAAACUGUUCACAUUCAAUUGGAUAACGAAACUAUUUUGUUCUCUGAUACUGUGAAGGUUCUGGGAGUUAAAAUAGACAAUUCUUUAAGGUAUAAAGAACAUGUUGAUACUCUUCUGCAGAGGUGUUAUUUGCGCAUCCGUACGCUUUAUACCAAUAAACACAUUUUAAAUUUUAAAACUAGGAAAAAACUGGUAGUGGCUCUUGUUUUAUCUAUUCUAAAUUACUGCCUUAUAGUUUAUUAUCCUUGCUUAGACCAAAUAAAUCGUUACCGCCUGCAACGCGUGCAGAAUACUUGCUGUAGAUUUAUUUUUAACCUCGGAAAGUUUGAUCAUGUAUCAGACUCUAUACUUCAGUUGAGGUGGUUAACGCUACCUUACCUAUUCAAAUUCUUCACUUCUACUUUUCUUUAUCGAUUAUAUCGCUCGUGCGCGGGUAAAGGGGUAUAAUGUCAAAAGUAUUAGUUUUGAGAAAAUUAGCUUGGUAAGUAUUGUCCGGUUCAAUUUUUGGGAUAACUUCCUUAAAAUAAAUAAUACAAAAAUGAUUUUUUUUCCAGAGCUAUUUAUUUUAAUAGGGUUAAUGUUCGGAUAACAUUACAAAGAAAAAAAUAUCCAUUUCGCAGAAAAAAAAAACUAAUUAUACCUCUUUACACAAAAAAACAUAAGAUGUUUCUCUUUACUCUAUAUUAUCUUCGUCAAUUUCUUCUAUAUCAGGCAAAAUUUCAUGAAGAUCCUUCUGGGUGGGAAGGCCUUUGUAGAAUUCGUGGAACACGUUGUCUAUAUAGGGCAAUAGAUCUAUAAGGUUUUUCUUUUUCUCCUCUGUAAUGGGGUUUGGAAAUUGACACUUAGGGAUUGCUGAGACUGGUAUCUCCUUAGUUUGUCCACGUCUUGAAAAGUCCAUUUCAUGAAAGGGAGCUAUGUAACUCAAAGAAGUUUUAUAAUAAAAUGUCCAUUUCUUUUUUUCAAAUCUUAGCCAUUUCACAUUUUUCCAAACAAAAUGGUUUCCUUCCUCAUCCUUUUUCUUUACUUGAAAUACUUUCUUGAGCAGGUCUGAGAAACUAUAGAAAUGUUCCCUGUUCAUCUCAAUAACUUGGAACUUAUUAUUUGCCUGUCCACAUAACCGCACUAGUUGAAACCAAUCACGCGGAUGAUUUAUUGGAUAUUCAUACUUCUUUUUCUUUCUCUCAAUGACAGAAUGAUCGGAGUCACACUCCAUAUGAGUGUGACCGGGAACCAAAAAUUUAUGAUCCACACUUUCCAGAUGAGUCAGCUGCAUAAGAACUAGAAACAUUGCUACAACAUGGGAAUUUUUAUUCUGACCUCCGCAAGUGUCAGAAUAAAGUGUAACAUGCUUUAUUUCAGGAGGCAAAGAUAAAAGUUCUCGAAAUACGCAAGACGCUACCUGAUUUGCACCCCGUCCAGAAAUGGUCUCGUACCACAUGCAACAGAUCGCUUGUUUUUUUUUACAUUCGUGCAUGGUCAGGUUGUAGGUCCACAGUUUUCUUUUAUAAAAGGCAACAGAGGCAGUUAGAUCUGGGGUUGGUAGGCACUGUUGAAGAUCAAACACGUAUACAAGUUUAGUCUCAUCCUGUUUUGCAAGGUCUUUGUCUUGUCUUUUCGAAUCAAAAGCCGCCUGAGCUUCAUCUAGAUGUGACUGCAGUUCAGUUUUUAACCUACUCAAGGUUUCACUGUUUUUCUCAUUGCGAAUCAAAAUGUUCAAUUUUUCACACGUAGCGCAUGUGUCUUUCUGGAACUUUUUUAUUUUAAUGCCCAUUUCGUGAAAAACAUGUUCAUAAAUCUUACGACUUACGGGCUUAUUAUUUGGCGGGACCCAAAUUUUAUAUUCUUCAUAAAGACGUAUCAACGUGUAAAAUGAAGGUAAAAAUCGUUUUUCGGAAUUCCUCCUACAAUAAUGGCUUUCGUAGGUUGGAAUGGAAGCUAUGUGAUCUUUUACUAGCUGCAAACUGUUUUCACUUAUUUUGUUUGGAGGCUCUUUACGACCUCUUUUAUCUUUUUCACAUAUUCCUGUUGAGUUCAUUUUUAAUAAUACAGUCGUUAUAAAUUUAUUAGAAAUAUCGAAGGUUUUUUCAAAGCACCCUUUACAAACUUGAAUCAACUCGCCAUUAACUUUCAAAUGAAAAACGUUAACACAGUCUCGCUUUUUCUUCCUUUCUGACGUUAUUGCUGUUUUCUUUCUUUGUUUCGUAAUAAGACUUGCGGUAUAGGCAACCCUCUCGUCAAAGUCGCCAAUUGACCAGAAAUAAUCAAAAAGCAUGUCCAACUGAACAUCAUCUACUUUACUACAACAUCCAUUCCUACAAGAGCAUAAAGGUCUUCUCUCUCUUUUUCUGAUAAGUUUCCCCUUGCUGGUAGUAUAUUCCCUACCCAAAUUUCUGUUUGUUUUUCUUAACUUUCUUUUCUCCCUGGUUUCUUCCUUUACUGUUUUCCGACCUCGCCUAUUUUCUUUAAUAACAUUUUCCACUUGACCCGCCGAAUUGUUGUUUUUCUUUUUUAUUUUAUCUGCAAGUUGCUGUAGAUUAACCAUAUCAGAAUCUGAACUUUCUGACUCUGGGGCGUAGUCUUUAUCCUUAUCGCUGUCGUCACAAUCGCCAGGAUCAUCACCUAAUUGUUCGUUACCUGGUGAUGGCAGAACCUCUGAAAUUAAACAAUGACCUACAAUUAAUUUUUUUAUUGCCAUAUUAUCAUGAAUUUUACUUCUUUAUUCUAGUUUUCAAAUAGCUAGUAAAUGGUAUAAACUAACCGGCUUGAACAAAACAUCAUUCAAAAAAGUAGAAUGGGGAAGUAACAUUUUAUUUUUUGAUACGUAAAAUAGUUUCCACAGUUCAAAAUGCUGUAUCAAACAUUUACCUAACUCGUCUCAAAUUCCCGAAAUAAUUUCAAAUUCUAUUUGACACCAAAGAAUAUCUAUAAAUUGAAAGCAAAUUUAAUCAUAUUUACCGUGUAUAGAUGACACAUCAUCCUCAAAAUACGGUGUUGUAGAUAAAGGAACAUUAUGCAAAGUAACGAAUUCCUUCUUAUUAGAUUGCUCUGACAUCUCUGUUAAAACAUCCUGUGAAGUAGAUGGUAUCUGGUCUAUGACAUUGGUGCUUGUACAACAAAUCUCUUGCCAAGUCUGCUUACCUAUAAAAAUAUUAAUAACAGAAAUUAAUUCGAUAUAAAAUACAGUACCUUAAAUUUUAGUGACUUGGCACGCUGUAUUUGACUUUUAGUAUAUGGAUAAAAAAAUAGUAGAUCUGUGCGCGGGUAAAGAAGUACAAGUCCCAAAUCCCAGAAACGGUACAGUAUUAUUAGUGAAAGAACAAUAAUUGCGUAUUAAACAUAAAAGCAUAAUUUAAUAUUUGAGCUGAACUUACCAUCCUCAACGGCACAAAGAUUAUCAAAUCUAUUUUCUUUGCACAUAUCAAUCAUUAAUUUUGUUCUUUUUGAAGCCAUAACCUCACUUAAACUAAUGACAAAACUAUGCACUUUAACCCAAACAGGACGUUCUAUAGUCUUCUUUGCCUGUUCUGGCAGGGUUCUAGAACUUAUUUAAGCAACCAAAGGUUUCUAAACUUGUUUAAAACCAAAUUAUGUCGAUUAUUUUGCUAAGCAUUCAACACGCCAUGCGUCAUUAAAAAUAUGUAAACAAAAAUAAUAGUGACAUAUUCGUACGGCACAAAAUAACGUGGGUUGUUCUGUGAUUAGGGUAAAGAGGUAUAAGUCAUGUUAAAUCGCUUUACGCCAAACCAGCUUCUUGUGAAAACGGAUAUAUAAUGAUAUAUAUCCAUACUCCCUAUAUAUACAUAUUUUAAACCUGUUUUACACAAUUGAAAAUACGGAUUUUAAACGCGGCUAGAGUUAUACCCUUUUACACAAUUCAAGAUCUUGAAAAGUGGUGUCGAAUUUUGCGUUAACCUCAUUUUAUAAAUAUUCUGACUUAUACCCCUUUACCCGCGCACGAGCGAUAUGUUAGUCAAAGACCUGAAUAUCUUUUUGAAAAGUUAAUACCAAGAAACCAUGUUCACACUCGAAAUAUUAGAUACAAUAUCUUGACCAUGCCGCACCAUUCCACGGCUCUAUUCGAGCGAUCUUUUACUUAUAAUGCCGUUAAGUUCUUUAAUACUUAUAAACCAAUAUUUAAUACUUCGUUAAAUGUGUAUAGGAAAUAUUAUAAACUUUUGUUUUUAAAUCAAUCCAAAAUAUAGUCUAGUGUUCUAGAAGAUAAAUACUUUAUAUAUACUUGUUUCUUUUUUUGUUUUUUUUUUCUCGUUUUCUCCAUUUAAACUGUGAAUGUUAGGAAGGUUAAGAGUUAAAGAGUAGCUUUAAGCUAAUCUUCGCCUUCUUGGCAAUGUAGUAUUAAGUAAUAUUGUAAGAUUAA